AACUUUUAACAAUGGAUCUCUUGGCUCUCGCAUCGAUGAAGAACGCAGCGAAAUGCGUUAAGUAAUGUGAAUUGCAGAAUUCAGUGAAUCAUCGAAUUUUUGAACGCACCUUGCGCUCCCUGGUAUUCCGGGGAGAACGCCUGUUCGAGUGUCGUGAAAUUUUCAAACUGAGAUGCUUUUUUGUUUCUCGGCUUGGGUUUGGGCUUUGCAUUCCCCUUUGAUUGGGAUGGCUGGCCUCAAAGGCAUUAGCUGGCUUUUCAUGUGGCAUUGGUUCUACUCAGCGUGAUAAUGAUCUGACCGCCGAGGACAUCUUUCAAGAUGGCCAAUUCUCAUUUGGGCUGCUUCUAAUCUUGGUCGAGCAGAUUCUGAAUCUGUUCCACUUUUCAACUUUUGACCUCGAAUCAGGUGGGACUACCCGCUGAACUUAAGCAUAUCAAUAAGCGGAGGCU
rnacentral:misc_RNA from 1 species